rnacentral:rRNA from 1 species
UACAGAGGUCUCGAGCGUUGUCCGGAUUUAUUGGGUUUAAAGGGUGCGUAGGCGGCCAUUUAAGUCUGGGGUGAAAGCCCGUUGCUCAACAACGGAACUGCCCUGGAAACUGGAUGGCUUGAGUACAGACGAGGGUGGCGGAAUGGAUGCUGUAGCGGUGAAAUGCAUAGAUAGCAUCCAGAACCCCGAUUGCGAAGGCAGCUGCCUAGACUGUAACUGACGCUGAGGCACGAAAGCGUGGGGAGCGAACAGG